AGCGAACGCUGGCGGCAGGCCUAACACAUGCAAGUCGAACGAACCUUUCGGGGUUAGUGGCGGACGGGUGAGUAACACGUGGGAACGUGCCUUUAGGUUCGGCAUAACUCAGGGAAACUUGUGCUAAUACCGAAUGUGCCCUUCGGGGGAAAGAUUAAUCGCCUUUAGAGCGGCCCGCGUCUGAUUAGCUAGUUGGUUGAGGUAAUGGCUCACCAAGGCGACGAUCAGUAGCUGGUCUGAGAGGAUGAUCAGCCACAUUGGGACUGAGACACGGCCCAAACUCCUACGGGAGGCAGCAGUGGGGAAGCUUGCGCAAUGGGGGAAAGCCUGACGCAGCCAUGCCGCGUGAAUGAUGAAGGUCGUAGGAUUGUAAAAUUCUUUCACCGGGGACGAUAAUGACGGUACCCGGAGAAGAAGCCCCGGCUAACUUCGUG
rnacentral:rRNA from 1 species